UACAGAGGGUGCGAGCGUUGUUCGGAAUUAUUGGGCGUAAAGGGCGCGUAGGCGGCGCGGUAAGUCACCUGUGAAAUCUCCUGGCUCAACUGGGAGCUUGCAGGCGAAACUGCCGUGCUGGAGUGUGGGAGAGGUGCGUGGAAUUCCUGGUGUAGCGGUGAAAUGCGUAGAUAUCUGGAGGAACACCGGUGGCGAAGGCGGCAUUCUGGACCAUAACUGACACUGAGAGACGAAAGCCAGGGGAGCAAACGGG
rnacentral:rRNA from 1 species